rnacentral:rRNA from 1 species
UACAGAGGUGCCAAGCGUUGUUCGGAUUUAUUGGGCGUAAAGGGGUGCGAUAGGUGGUGAGUGUCAAGUCGGGUGUGAAAUCCCGGAGCCUAACUCCCGGAAUGGCAUUCGAAACUGGCAUCGCUCGAGGUCUGGAGAGGUGAAGCUGGAAUUCUCGGUGUAGGCAGUGAAAUGCGUAGAUAUCGAGAGGAACACCAGAGGCGAAAGCGAGUCACUGGACAGAACCUGACACUCGAGGCACGGAAAGCCAGGGGAGCAAACGGG